rnacentral:rRNA from 1 species
AGAUGGCGACCGGCGCACGGGUGAGUAACACGUAUCCAACCUGCCGAUAACUCGGGGAUAUCCUUUCGAAAGAAAGAUUAAUACCCGAUGGCAUAAUUAGACCGCAUGGUCUUAUUAUUAAAGAAUUUCGGUUAUCGAUGGGGAUGCGUUCCAUUAGGCAGUUGGUGAGGUAACGGCUCACCAAACCUUCGAUGGAUAGGGGUUCUGAGAGGAAGGUCCCCCACAUUGGAACUGAGACACGGUCCAA